rnacentral:rRNA from 1 species
UACGUAGGGAGCAAGCGUUGUCCGGAAUCAUUGGGCGUAAAGCGCGCGUAGGUGGCUCUAUAAGUCCGUUGUGAAAGUCAAAGGCUCAACCUUUGAAAGCCGAUGGACACUGUGGAGCUAGAGUACGGAAGAGGCGAGUGGAAUUCCUGGUGUAGCGGUGGAAUGCGCAGAUAUCAGGAGGAACACCAAUAGCGAAGGCAGCUCGCUGGGACGUUACUGACACUGAGGCGCGAAAGCGUGGGGAGCGAACAGG